GACGUAGGGCGCGAGCGUUGUCCGGAUUUAUUGGGCGUAAAGAGCUCGUAGGCGGCUUGUCGCGUCGAAUGUGAAAACUCGGGGCUCAACCCCGCGCUUGCAUUCGAUACGGGCAGGCUCGAGUUCGGUAGGGGAGACUGGAAUUCCUGGUGUAGCGGUGAAAUGCGCAGAUAUCAGGAGGAACACCGGUGGCGAAGGCGGGUCUCUGGGCCGAUACUGACGCUGAGGAGCGAAAGCGUGGGGAGCGAACAAG
rnacentral:rRNA from 1 species